UGAGGAAUAUUGGUCAAUGGCCGAGAGGCUGAACCAGCCAAGUCGCGUGAGGGAAGAAUGUCCUAAGGAUUGUAAACCUCUUUUGUCGGGGAGCAAAAAGGCUCUGCGGAGUCGUAUUGAGAGUACCCGAAGAAAAAGCAUCGGCUAACUCCGUGCCAGCAGCCGCGGUAAUACGGAGGAUGCGAGCGUUAUCCGGAUUUAUUGGGUUUAAAGGGUGCGCAGGCGGCGUGUCAAGCAAGCGGUAAAAUAGCGGGGCUCAACCCCGUCGAGCCGUUUGAACUGGCGCGCUUGAGUUCAGGCGAG
rnacentral:rRNA from 1 species